CGGACGGGUGAGUAAUGUCUGGGAAACUGCCUGAUGGAGGGGGAUAACUACUGGAAACGGUAACUAAUACCGCAUAACGUCGCAAGACCAAAGAGGGGGACCUUCGGGCCUCUUGCCAUCGGAUGUGCCCAGAUGGGAUUAGCUAGUAGGUGGGGUAACGGCUCACCUAGGCGACGAUCCCUAGCUGGUCUGAGAGGAUGACCAGCCACACUGGAACUGAGACACGGUCCAG
rnacentral:rRNA from 1 species